rnacentral:rRNA from 1 species
CAGAAGAGUCACCGGCUAACUCCGUGCCAGCAGCCGCGGUAAUACGGAGGGUGCGAGCGUUAAUCGGAAUAACUGGGCGUAAAGGGCACGCAGGCGGACUUUUAAGUGAGGUGUGAAAUCCCCGGGCUUAACCUGGGAAUUGCAUUUCAGACUGGGGGUCUAGAGUACUUUAGGGAGGGGUAGAAUUCCACGUGUAGCGGUGAAAUGCGUAGAGAUGUGGAGGAAUACCGAAGGCGAAGGCAGCCCCUUGGGAAUGUACUGACGCUCAUGUGCGAAAGCGUGGGGAGCAAACAGGAUUAGAUACCCUGGUAGUCCACGCUGUAAACGCUGUCGAUUUGGGGAUUGGGCCUUGAGCUUGGUGCCCGAAGCUAACGUGAUAAAUCGACCGCCUGGGGAGUACGGCCGCAAGGUUAAAACUCAAAUGAAUUGACGGGGGCCCGCACCAGCGGUGGAGCCAUGUGGUUUAAUUCGAUGCAACGCCGAAGAACCUUACCUACUCUUGACAUCCAUGGAAUCUUGUAGAGAUAUGAGAGUGCCUUCGGGAACCAUGAGACAGGUGCUGCAUGGCUGUCGUCAGCUCGUGUUGUGAAAUGUUGGGUUAAGUCCCGCAACGAGCGCAACCCUUAUCCUUUGUUGCCAGCGAUUAGGUCGGGAACUCAAAGGAGACUGCCGGUGAUAAACCGGAGGAAGGUGGGGAUGACGUCAAGUCAUCAUGGGAAUAC